AAAACAAAGAUUUGGACAAUACCAUAUGAGAAAUAGUUCAAUUUAUAAAAAUUAGAAUAUUGAUAGAAACAGAAUGAGUGAUUAUUUGUCGAUAGUAUCUUUUUAAACAAUAUUCUAUCACAAUUGCAUGUAUAAACAUAGCAAUUCAUUUUUCUUCAAUUCAUUUUUUGAAAAGCAAAAUAUAUUGAGAAUGCAUGUCGUUUAAGUUCCGAACACAUGUCGUUUAAGUUCCGAACAAUCAUCACUUGGCACACAACUUGUUCAAGCACCUUGCUGUUUUGAGCGGGCAUGGAAAUAUGACUCCAUCACAUGGAUUUAUUAAAAGAGGCACGUUUUGACCCAAAUUGUAUGACUUGGUAAGGAAGAGGAGGAGCAGCCCAUCACAAGUUGACCCCUCCAUGUGCUUGUGGUUCAUGCAUAUUGGUAAACCAUACUUUUUUUUAUAUUUAUUUAAUACUUAAUAUAACAAUAUUGGAAUGGAUGAUGUAUGCGGAAUCAUAUAAUGAGUCAGCUGAUAAUAAGAUAUCGAAUUUGUUACCAAGAGAAUCGAAAGAUGAAAAUAUAGCUAAACCAUAAUAUUAGUGUAAAAAAUUUUCAAUAUUUUUUUUAUAUGAGCUUAAUCUAGAGGAAAAAAUAAAUAUAAUAAACGAAUAAAACCAACAAAAAAAAGUAGUAGAAAAAUCACCUGAAUUUGAUCCCCAAUAUUGAC
rnacentral:lncRNA from 1 species